UCCCGCAGCAAAAUCUCAAUCCCGAUAUUUGCGGGAUUGUUAGUUGUUAAUAUAACAAAUUAACCAACUUAAACAAUAUCUAAAUUUAUAAGAAAAAAACUAACAUUAAAGGGGAAAUUUAACAAAUUUUACAGAAAUUAUUUUAAUUGAACGUAUAACGGCUAUUGUCCUCCGAGAUAAAUUUUUGCAAACGAUAAGAAUGAAAUGAGAUUGAUUUCAUUGCGUUAACGAGAUUUAUCCAAAAUGGAGGAUUCGUUGUAAAGCGAGCGGUGGAUGAUGCAGAUGCACUUAUUGUUAAAACCGUUUAAUGAAUAAACAUCCGUAUAGUCGGCGAGGAUGUUAAUCUCCUUGUUCUCUUCCUCGCUUUAACACCAGAAAAUAAAGAUAUCUUUUUCAUAAAGCCAGGCAAAGGCAAAAUUAAGAGGAACAUUUUUUCGUCGGCAGAAAUCCAAAAAUUAACCGAAUGUAUAAAAAAUACAAUCUUACUGGUCCAUGCCUUCAGUGGUUGUGAUACCCAGUGUUAUUUCAGAAGGGUAAAUUACAAAACGAAAUUUAAUUGGCUAAUAUAGUGAGAACUUUCAAUGACGAAAUUCAACACUAUCAGAAGUAAGAAAGGGUGGUGAAGCCCUUGACCCUUAUCAUUAGGGAGCCCUUGGUUCCUUGAAAAAUAUACAGUGUUUCCCAAGGAGAACGCAGCAUAGGGAAACAGAAAUAAUGUAUUUUUUCGCGAAAGAUCCACAGGCCUUUGAAAUUAGCGUUCCACGUACCACUCCAAUCUCUUUCUAGCAUCAGGCCAGCGCAAUAACGUACGUUGAACUUUAACUUUAAAUACAUAUCAAAGGCCUCUUGGAUCCCUAUGGUGCGUUCUCCUUGGGAAACACGAUAUAAGUUUCAACUACUUCGCAAUGUUCUUAACUGAAGGAUCAUUUGUCCUAAUAAUUCUCAAUGCAAUCAAUACUUUUUUUCGUUGUUUGUCAAUAAAGCUUCAUUUUUCGAUUCCAAAAGGAACUGUAAAUAUCAGGUUAAAAAUACAUGUGCGAUUAUUUGGGAUAGAGGAACACUUUGUGAAGCAAUGUUUCGAAUUUACAUCUUUGGUUACUAUAUCUCUUCCAUAUACCGAGCAUCACGGCUACGUACGUAUGUAUGUAUGCAAUGGCCCUUUUAUUUUCCAAUAAAUCAACACGAAAAAAAUCUUUCCGAAAGAAUCUCCAUAUUCGUCGCUUUUAGUCGCAAAGGGAUGAUAAAAAGAAAUGGCGCCUUUGUAUAAAUAGAACGAAACCUAAAAAGAGUGUUUGUGCAUUAUUUGUUACAUAUGGCAUAAAAAUCCUUAUUUUUCAGUUACAUCCCUCUGUUGGACUGAGUGUGUAUAAGGGAAUAGCGACUCACAAUCUUCGUCUCAAGGAAAACGUAACGAAAACGAAAAUGCGUCUACCCCCUUCGGCUACGUGGAGCACUUGGGCGUCACAAUUGAAAGAGCAGCGAAAAUUAAGAUGGUUUUCAAAGCCCACCAUUGAUUAUAUACAUUGUGUCCCUAAACUGAAGUAAAAAUAAAGUUUAUCCAAGUGUGUUGUUGUUGACUGUCGCAUGUGGAUAAAGUUGGUAAGUACAAAAAAUUUCAAUUUUGUGCGCUGUCAAUCUAACACUUUCCUCAAUGCCACCGGAUACGAUCUCAAGCAAUAUUGGCAACCGUGCGACUGACAGCUUUACAUUUCUAUACAAGCUUAGGUGGACGCUUUCGCCGGAAAUAACCUUUCUUUUUCACCUUUUAUCGUUGAUUCCCGAUGAUACUUCAUUUAGUGGUUUUCUCGCGUUGGCUAUAAAUUCAAUUUGGAUUAAAUAAUUAGGAAAUGACAAAAUUGAAUGAGUACGGUGGAUAAGUUGAAAAUACUCGCUUUUGGGAAAUACAAAGGAAAUCUCGACGGGAAUAAGUCAGGCCGAAUUCCGUAGUAUAAUUGGAAACAUUGGUUAAUAGAGUCGAGUCUGUGGAUUUACCUCUAUCACAAUAUCGUUUCAGCCACAGUUUUUGGAAUUAAAACGCGAAGACUAUUGUUGCAGGAUCUCGCCGUAUAUAAUUGAAAAGUGUAAGAGAUAAUUCCAAUCCCGUCGGCGUAUAAAUUUAAUUAAAUAUAAAUACAAGUAGAUUUUAAAGUCGAUUAAUAAUCAAUUUCAUUUCAUAUAAUUCAGUCGAGCGUAACAUAAUUUCAUUUUGAUGUGUUCUGUUUGUAAUGAAGUUUUAGUUUCAAAAUUCCACGAAUUUGUUUGCUUUCAUGUGCUGUUCCUAUCUGAAAUUUAUACCGAAAACUCGAUAAAACUUUUUGAUUGUGUAACUAUCGACGUUAGCAACAAUGAUGGCAGUAAUGGGAAAUGAAAUUUUCCUUUUUGAGCGGAAAGAUCUUUAAUUUAAUUUACAUUUUUUUUUUCUGUGAGGAGUUGAGAAACACCACAUCGUAGUGUUUCCUGGCAGCAUUGAAACUGAUUUUGGUAAGUCUUGUUCAAGUUUCCCUGGUUUAAAAUAAACAUUUCGCUUGUCCAAUUGAUUGCUAUAAAGUUCGAUAAAUCUAUAUACAUUCAACUUAGUUUCGUGGAAUAUUUAUUGGGAUACAUGAUACAUCCCACUUCUGAUGUAAAAAUACGAUAGAUAUAGGAUGGGGUGAGGUGGUUUUGUAGAGUAGUUACACUUACACUCCUGAAUUGAUUAGUAUUUUCUACCGUCUUGCUUGGAUGUCAAGUACGAAGUAUUUCUUUUACUUGGCGAGAUACACAAAAAAUUGUCAAAUAUAAUUUGAUAGGUAUGUGACACCUGUCACUUUUGAGGCCGCACCUGUCACAUUGCUAAAUGUCUAUGAUAUCUGGUGUCAUCUUAUCAACAUUUAUUGAUUUGACACGGCUUAUGUGACUUGUCACGAUCAUAUUUAUAAUAUAUAUCAAUGGGAACAACAAACAAGAAGAGAUAAAGUUAGCAAAUCGGAGAACUGGUAUUAAAACUGACAGAGAAGAGAUAAUAGGGAAUACUAAACAGAAACAUGGAGAGUCACAAAUGGAGUUAAUAUGAAUGGGGGAGAAGGGGCCUCGUACUGAAUCAUAUAAUAAAUGAAAAGCAAUGGAAGAAGUAAAAGAUUCAUCGUGAGAACAAUGACGGAAUAGGAUCACCAGUCGGUGGAGUUAAUUUUAAAAUAAAAAGUAUGAAUGGAAAUCACUUUAACAUCAUCAAGACAAAAGAAUGCGCAAAUAUAAAUUAUAGAAAGGCUGGACAAAUGAAAAUAAGAAGAAUGUGAGAACACAACGUACUUGUGGAAAGAGAUGAAGUAGGAAAAAAGAGGCUUGAACUUGGAACUUUUCCGGAAAUUUAUUUUUACAACCGUACCGGAUUUAAAUCUUUUGCCUUUUUGCACUUUCGCCAAUGGCAUUUCUUUGCGUCCGUACCGUUUCACUUUGCUUUGCAAUUGAGUUGCCGCACCAUAUUUUUUGGAAUUGGCUUUUAGGGAGGGUUUGCUACCACUCCGUUAAUUUCAAGGUAAGUUUUUUGUUACUUUACGUUCAUAGGAGGGGGGGGGAUAUGGUUCGCUUCCCCGUAAUUACUUUUCGGCCGGUUUCGCUGAUUUAUGUUUAGCUUUUAUUCCCGCCGUAAUUUUGUUUUAAUUUUCCGAAGUGACAGCCGCCAUCUUCUGAACUCGUCCGAUCCUGGGAACGCCGUUCUACGUUCGAGUUACUUGGAGCCCCCGACAAGGCCGUUCCGAAUCCUGACCAGGAGCAGGGUUUCCGAAAACCUACUGGUGGCGCCCGAAGCAUUCCCGUUCCGCCUUUUCUUGCCACAUUUCCACCGACUAUCGCCGCCGUCACCAUCUACAUAUUUUGUAUUAUAAAUUACCGCUGAAUGUUUUUUGUUCUUUCUAUCAUUAAAUUUCAUUUUGUAAU